rnacentral:rRNA from 1 species
GUCUGUGGCCAUAGCAUCCUGAAUUCACCUAAACUUGUCUGACCUUGGAAGCUAAGCAAGGUUGAACCUGGUUAAUUUGUAUGGGAAAAACAAUAUGAGUUUUAUAUAACUAUAGGGC